GAUGAACGCUGGCGGCGUGCCUAAUACAUGCAAGUCGAGCGAACGGACGAGAAGUUGGCUUUGCUGAUGUUAGCGGCGGGCGGGAGAGUAACAUGUGGAUAACCUACCUAUAGGGCUGGAGUAACUUCGGAAAACCGGUGCUAAUACCGGAGAAUAUUGUGAGCCGCAUGGUUCAAUAGUGAAAGACGGUCUUGCUGUCACUUAUAGAUGGAUCCGCGCUGCAUUAGCUAGUUGGUAAGGUAACGGCCUACCAAGGCGACGAUGAGUAGCUGAACUGAGAGGACGAUCGGCCACACUGGAACUGAGACACGGCCCAGACUCCUACGGGAGGCAGCAGUGGGGAAUCUUCGACAAUGGGCGAAAGCCUGAUGGAGCAACGCCGCGUGUGUGAUGAAGGCCUUCGGAUUGUAAAGCUCUGUUGUCCGGAAAGAAAACCUGUGUCCGAAUACGGGCGGAGCAUGACGGUACCUAAAGAGAAAGCACCGGCUAACUACGUG
rnacentral:rRNA from 1 species